GACGAACUUUGGCGGCGCGCCUAACACAUGCAAGUCGAACGAGAGAUGAGGAGCUUGCUCUUCAGAUCGAGUGGCGAACGGGUGAGUAACGCGUGAGGAACCUGCCUCAAAGAGGGGGACAACAGUUGGAAACGACUGCUAAUACCGCAUAAGCCCACGGCUCGGCAUCGAGCAGAGGGAAAAGGAGCAAUCCGCUUUGAGAUGGCCUCGCGUCCGAUUAGCUAGUUGGUGAGGUAACGGCCCACCAAGGCGACGAUCGGUAGCCGGACUGAGAGGUUGAACGGCCACAUUGGGACUGAGACACGGCCCAGACUCCUACGGGAGGCAGCAGUGGGGAAUAUUGCACAAUGGGGGAAACCCUGAUGCAGCGACGCCGCGUGGAGGAAGAAGGUCUUCGGAUUGUAAACUCCUGUUGUUGAGGAAGAUAAUGACGGUACUCUACAAGGAAGUGACGGCUAACUACGUGCCAGCAGCCGCGGUAAAACGUAGGUCACAAGCGUUGUCCGGAAUUACUGGGUGUAAAGGGAGCGCAGGCGGGAGAACAAGUUGGAAGUGAAAUCCAUGGGCUCAACCCAUGAACUGCUUUCAAAACUGUUUUUCUUGAGUAGUGCAGAGGUAGGCGGAAUUCCCGGUGUAGCGGUGGAAUGCGUAGAUAUCGGGAGGAACACCAGUGGCGAAGGCGGCCUACUGGGCACCAACUGACGCUGAGGCUCGAAAGUGUGGGUAGCAAACAGGAUUAGAUACCCUGGUAGUCCACACCGUAAACGAUGAUUAUUAGGUGUUGGAGGAUUGACCCCUUCAGUGCCGCAGUUAACACAAUAAGUAAUCCACCUGGGGAGUACGACCGCAAGGUUGAAACUCAAAGGAAUUGACGGGGGCCCGCACAAGCAGUGGAGUAUGUGGUUUAAUUCGACGCAACGCGAAGAACCUUACCAAGUCUUGACAUCCUGCGACGCACAUAGAAAUAUGUGUUUCCUUCGGGACGCAGAGACAGGUGGUGCAUGGUUGUCGUCAGCUCGUGUCGUGAGAUGUUGGGUUAAGUCCCGCAACGAGCGCAACCCUUAUGGUCAGUUACUACGCAAGAGGACUCUGGCCAGACUGCCGUUGACAAAACGGAGGAAGGUGGGGAUGACGUCAAAUCAUCAUGCCCUUUAUGACUUGGGCUACACACGUACUACAAUGGCGUUAAACAAAGAGAAGCAAGACCGCGAGGUGGAGCAAAACUCAGAAACAACGUCCCAGUUCGGACUGCAGGCUGCAACUCGCCUGCACGAAGUCGGAAUUGCUAGUAAUCGUGGAUCAGCAUGCCACGGUGAAUACGUUCCCGGGCCUUGCACU
rnacentral:rRNA from 1 species